CCUACGGGAGGCAGCAGUAGGGAAUCUUGCGCAAUGGGCGAAAGCCUGACGCAGCCAUGCCGCGUGGAUGAUGAAGGUCUUAGGAUUGUAAAAUCCUUUCAGCGGGGACGCGGUACCCGCAGAAGAAGCCCCGGCUAACUUCGUGCCAGCAGCCGCGGUAAUACGAAGGGGGCUAGCGUUGCUCGGAUUUACUGGGCGUAAAGGGCGCGUAGGCGGAUUUCUAAGUCGGGGGUGAAAGCCCAGGGCUCAACCCUGGAAUUGCCUUCGAUACUGGAAGUCUUGAGUACGGGAGAGGUGAGUGGAACUCCGAGUGUAGAGGUGAAAUUCGUAGAUAUUCGGAAGAACACCAGUGGCGAAGGCGACUCACUGGCCCGUACUGACGCUGAGGCGCGAAAGCGUGGGGAGCAAACAGGAUUAGAUACCCUUGUAGUC
rnacentral:rRNA from 1 species